UACCAGCACCCCGAGUGGUCGGGACGAUUAUUGGGCCUAAAGCAUCCGUAGCCGGUUUACAAGUCCUCCGUUAAAUCCAGCUGCUUAACAGAUGGGCUGCGGAGGAUACUAUAAGAACUAGGAGGCAGGAGAGGCAAGCGGUACUCAGUGGGUAGGGGUAAAAUCCGUUGAUCCAUUGAAGACCACCAGUGGCGAAGGCGGCUCACUGGCCCGAUACUGACGCUGAGGCACGAAAGCGUGGGGAGCAAACAGG
rnacentral:rRNA from 1 species